AGCUCCAAUAGCAUAUAUUAAAGUUUUUACAGUUAAAAAGCUCGUAGUUGAAUUUCUGGCUGGGCGUGUGAGUCUGCUCUUAUAAGUGUACAACAUACAUGUCUGGCCAUUCUUUUGGAGAGCAAUAGUGGCAAUACGUUGUUGGUGUAGGGAUCCAAAUCCUUUACUGUUAAGAAAUUAGAGUGUUCAAAGCAGGCUUACGCCGUUGAAUAUGUUAGCAUGUAAUAAUAACAUAGAAAUGUUGUACUAUUUUGUUGGUUUGUGCACAAAAGUAAUGAUUAAUAGGGACAGUUAGUGUUAUUUGUAUUCCAUUGUCAGAGGUGAAAUUCUUGGUUUUUUGGAAGACAAACUACUACAAAAGCAUUUAUCAAAGAUGUGUCCA
rnacentral:rRNA from 1 species